GACGAACCGAGCGAACGUUGUUCGGAAUCACUGGGCUUAAAGGGCGCGUAGGCGGGUGCUCAAGUCCGGGGUGAAAUCCUCCAGCUCAACUGGAGAACUGCCUCGGAUACUGGGUGCCUCGAGGGUGGUAGGGGUAUGCGGAACUAUCGGUGGAGCGGUGAAAUGCAUUGAUAUCGAUAGGAACUCCGGUGGCGAAGGCGGCAUACUGGACCACAUCUGACGCUGAGGCGCGAAAGCCAGGGGAGCAAACGGG
rnacentral:rRNA from 1 species